rnacentral:lncRNA from 1 species
AUCAUACAUUCAUUGACUUUUAAGUGGUUUAUAAACACACUACAAAGCAUUAUCAACAUUCGUAAUCUUCUAUCCACUCCUCUAUCUUAAAUCAUACCUGAUCAUGAUGAGAGUAGCUACUACUAGCUAUAUCUUGUAACUUUUUUUGCAAUCUGUUAUCCCUACAGGUGACCAUUUUCUUUUCUUUUCCUAUUGCAAAGCUAACCUCCACUGUUUCACCUUCUCCUUGUCAAUGGUUUUUUUUCUUUCAUAAUUGGCCAGUGCUUUUGCAUAGCUACUUUUCUGAUGGCGGACAUUAGAAGGGUCAACUUGAUAAAAAUCUGGCCAAACCAUCCUGCCCUUGUGUUUUAUGCACUCCAUGAUCUUUGUAAGCUCUUCCAAACAAAAAGUGGAUGAUGCAUAGUUUUCUGAAAAAAUCACAAUUGCAAUUCUUGAUUGUUGGAUUGCCAUCAUGAGAGCUGGUGUGAUUUCUUCUCCUUUCCUAAGUUCUUGAUCAUCUAUGAAUGUGUUGAUUCCUUUUCCACAAAGAGCAUUAUAAAGGUUCCUGGUAAAACCAUUACGAGUAUCCUCUCCUUGAAAACUGAGGAAAACAUCAUAAACCCAUUCAUAGGUGAAGGAAGAUGAAGCCCCAAAGUUUAACUCUUUCAUCAUAGACAUAACAAUGACUCUUGAGAGGGAAAAAGAUGUAGCAACUAGAUAAAAUAUGUAUAUGAUAUGUAGGAAUUUGGUUGAGCUACAAUGGAAUCUGUGUAUCAGACAAUUGCAUUGCCUUAAAUACCAUUUCCUUUCUUACGCAGUUUGAUAUAUGUUUUCUAUUUCUAUAAUACAAGAUACCAUUUUUUUCUUUCUAAAUAAGAGAUAGAUAAACACAUUCUUAAUUACACUUGAGAUUGACUAUAUUUUUACCAACUCUAAUGAGUUGGUUCAUAGAGAGUGGAUCAAUUAUAUAAAUCUAGUUUAGCAUUAUCUUUAGAAAAGUUUGAGGCCGGCCUUCCUUGUAUAUUUAAUACUACAGCAGCUAUCUUGAUGAAAUUUCAAUAUAACUUUCAUUAAAUUUUGUUAUGUUUAGUUAAACUUUUUAAAUUUCGUGACUGUAUAGGUAAGAUUUGUAGGUUUGUAGAGUAAGUUUUUCGUUUAACUUCUAAUAAAUGCGUUUUUCGUAAAAUGUGACAAAUAUAUGAGACAAAACUUUUCACAUAACUGACGUCUUACACAUUUUUUAAUACUAGAUUAGAUAAUAUUUUUUUAUCACAAGGUGAUAUUUUAUAUAUUUAUUAUAUUUCUGCAACUAUUUAAUUUGAAACUUAAUAAAAAAAUUUACCAUAAAAUUUUACAGUCUUUUGAUUGAAAAUUUUAAUAAAUUUCCUGAGAAAAAAAUGCAGGUAUAUGGUUACAAUUAGCUUGAACUUUUUUUUGAUUAAGAGCUUGAAUUUUUAGCACAUAGUGAAUAUAUCUAAUGCAGUUAGACAUUACAGAGAAGGAAUAAUAUAUUUCUUAAUUGCAGCAAACUUGUUUUAAAGCAUGCCAAAUAAAUCAUGACCAUACUUAAGAUCAAUCAGGCCAACAUGUGAAACCAAAAUAUAAACAAAGCUUUUAUUUGUGAAGAAAAACAUGUUAUAGCAAAAAUAGUAAAUUACAUAAUAAGCUAGUUACUUUAUUUAUAUAUACAGUGCAGCAACUUGUCAUGAGGAGGAAGUAUCUCCUUCACAAGAGGAUAUUCCUUCAUGGAAUUUAGCCACAUGAAACAUUUCGGCGUGUUACAGGCCUUGUAAAAUGCUUCGUAGAUGCAACAAGUUGCGGCGAGCACAAUGUCAAGGAGUUCCAAUGUUUCGCUGUUGAAGAAUCAGAACUUCUCAUCAAAACCUUUCUUGACCCCUUCUUCAAACACACACCCAAGUAUCUCAACCAUGCCUCCAAUAGCUUCCUUUCUAUCUUCCCCUUUUAAUUGGAGAACGCGGUAGGAACUAGGAAUGAUCUAACUGAACAUUGUCAAAGUUAACAUGUUAUUGUUAUUAUAUUUAAAAAGUUAAAAAUUAAAACUACAUGGGUAAGUACUAACAUUGGUGCAUGCAAGACGAUUAUUUUGAUAUCUCAAUUAUUUUGUACUAACAUUGAUAUCUAACUGUUAAGGAGAAAAGCAAUCAAAUAACCAGGAAGAUAUUUUUUUUUACAGAAAUAUUUAUCCAGUUAGAGAUAUGUAAAAGGAUAAUUUUUUUGAUAGGAUAUAUUGCACUUUUAAAUAAAUGCAAGAAAAUUUAAACUAGAAAACAGAGGAAAUCAUACAUUCAUUAGUUUUUUACAGGUCUACAAAUACCAUAAAACAGAAUCAAUGUUCACGAGCUUCUGUUCACUCAUCUAUCUUAAACCAUACCUGAUGAGAGUAGCUACCGCCUAGACCUUGCGAUAUUAUUGGGUUAUCUUUUAUUUCCACGCGUGACAUUUUUCUUUUCUUUUCCUUCUAUUGCAACCUUAGGAUUGAUAAUUUGAAUAUCUGCCAUGCUUGUUUUUUGUUCCUGUACAUGAAGUUUCAUCCAUUUCAUAUCUUGUCCACAGUUUUUUACUAAUGAAAUCUCAGCAUGGUUCCAUCCAUUCUUAAUACGUAGUUUUCCAAUCAUAUCAAGACUAGCUUUGAGCUGCAGAUCCAGCAGAAUUAUAUGAUUUAAAUUUGUAUCAAUUGCAUUAGUUUUAGACCAACUAACAUGGAGAAAGUUCGUGAGCCGUUUACUGCCAUUAAUGAUCAGGUCAAAGUCACACUUCAGACAACAUAUUGAACAAUAACAACCACCUGCAAUUACCGCAACACUAAGAGCCAUCGGUGGCAAUUUGUUUCGGAACUUGAAGGACAUAGACAGUGCCUGUCUAUUUUGAUGGAACCAGCUUGGGAUAGUUGAUCCUGGAAAACAGAUAUAUUUGGCCCCAGAAUUCGGAAGUAUCUGUCGAUCAAAUAUAAUUAAAAAGUUUGAAUUAAACCUGUUGGAUUAUGGAAUACAUUUAUUUUAAUUUUAAAGGAAAAACUAUUGAUGAUGUUAAAGAUAUGAUACCUUAUUCAGUAACAUUUUCUUGGAUUGGGAAGUCAAUGAUGUACAAUUUAUUGCACUAAAAUGUUUUAUGUUUGGUGGCAGGUCUCUGAUUUCUUGAAGCUCUGUACAAUUAUUCAAAGUAAGUUCCUUCAAAGAGUGGCAGGCAGUGAUGCAUGAUGGAAGGAUUGUGAUACUGCUGUAAUCAAGGGAUAAAUAUGUGACACAGUGAAAGCAAGGAAGAAGUGCAACGAGAAAUUCAUCUGAUAGAUGGCAAAAGCUGAAGUCAACAACACUUCUCACACCUGAAGACGUUUCCUGCAAUUGACCUUUUCCCUUCUUGAUUCGCACAAGCCCCUUGCAACUGUAAGCCUCCAAGGUCUCAAGUUUUGGCAACAUAAAAAUACUACUUGGUAGUUCAAGUAGCUUGCUGCAUCUGUCUAUAGACAGGUUUGCAAGCCCCACAAGACGUCCCAUGGAAAAAGGCAAUUCACUUAUUCCACUAUCACUCAAAACAAGGUAUGUUAUGUUUUCCAUCUUCCCUAGAAUUUCUGGAAAAUUCUUAAGAGAUGUACAAUUCCUAAGGGACAUGGUUUUAAGUGAAGGUAAGUUGAUGCCACGGGGAAGAAUCUUGAGCCCAGUGCAACGAUUAAGAUUCAAAUCUUCAAGUUUUCCAAGGAACCCAACAGAAUCAUGAACUUCAACCAAAUUCUUGCAGGAAUCAAGAUGCAGUUUCUUCAAAUUUGGAGCUCCAGACAUGUCAGGUACUUGCUUUAAGGAUUGACAACUGCUUAACUUCAUUUCCGUCAAAGAUUUAAAUUUCUGAAAAAUGAAAUCAAUAACUAUUUUAUGACUUUUUAAGUAGCUUUAUCUUAUUAUUUAAACUCAGAAAACAUAUAAAAUAUCAAUACCAUGAUUUUUUGAUUGCCGAAUGUAAAAAGGCCCAUAGACAUGUCAAGUAUGACAAGUGUUUUUGGAUCAUAAUGAGCCGGCAAUGACGAUUCAGGAUAAUCACACCAUGUUAGCACUUUUAAACUUUUUGGGAAAUGAUUAGGUCCUUUGGAAAAGUGAGCUUUUUCUAUUACCAGUAUUUUGAGGUUUUCCAUAUUCUUCAAUGCAUUUCCAUCCCAUUGGACUUCUUUAUCUUUGAGUAGACGUAGCAUGAUGAUCUCAGUUUUAUCAGAUCCCUUCAAACCAAAACACUAAAUAUUAUACACCUCUGAUUAUACAGGAUAUCUUAGCGCUAAUAAAUAUUGUCAAUGGUUUGAAUAACAAUCCCACUUUGGACAAUGAUAUGACCUGAUAAAUGGUUAUAAGUAGUGUCAAUCUUCUCCCCACCCAAGAACUAGAUUUUGAGGUUGAGUUUAGGUCAAAUCUAUUCUAAAAUGAUAGUAGAAUCUAUCCGAGUUGAAGUUGGCCACCCACAGAUGCAGAUGUCAAACUUCACCCUCCUGGCAUCUAAUGUUAUGCUUGGGGGAUGUGUUGAACAAUGGUUAUAAGUGGAGCCCAACCUCAAUUCAUGAGCAAACUUUUGGGUUUGAGUUAGAGGCCAAUUCAAAUUCUAAGAGUCAUCAAACAAUGGAGAUAUGCUAGAUUAUAAGUCAGAUGUGUUUUCUCAAAAAAGGAAAAAGAAUAAGAAUUCUAGAUACAAUCUUUACACAUACCUUAUUCUCUUUGAAAACAUUAAGAAUAUCUUUGGAGAACCAUAAUCUACUGCGUUCACCUGGCUUUGAGGGUGCUUCCAGCCGCACAAUUUCUCUACCCAUAUCUUCAAUCAAGUCAUGCAUCCUGACACGAUAACCACCAACUUUAAUCAGACUCUUAUCAAUCAACACCUUGAUAGCAUAGUCUGGGGAAAAGCCACGACCACUGCAUAGUAUGUUCUUGACAUCACUUAGUUUGUAUCCUUUGAAGAAGCAAGUGAUAUCUAAAAAAAUUUCCUUCUCACGUUCUGUUAAGCCAUCAUAGCUUACUCUUAGGAUUUCCUGAAUUUUUUCAUGAGGAAUUUUUUCAUAAGUAUCUAAAGCAGAUUUCCAUUCCAAUUUUGUUUUACCACACAAAUCAGAACCUAUUAUUUCAACAGAUAAUGGAAGGCCAUUAGAAUAAAGCACUGCUCUCUUUGAAAUGUCGACAUAACUAGGAUCAAUUUCUUUUGUUUUGAAAGCAUUCCAAGCAAACAAUUCGAGGGCUUCUCCACUCUUCAAUUCAUCUACUUCAUAGACUCUUUCAAUGCCAUGAACAUGCAGCAAAUGUUUAUCCCUUGUUGUGAUAAUAACUCUGCUACCAGAACCAAACCAGUCAAGUCCACCAGCAAGUGCUUCUAGUUGCUCCAAACUGUCAACAUCAUCCAGAAUCAAUAGAUUUUUUUUCCUACAAAGUCUACUUUUUAUAAUAGAAAUUCCUUUAUUUAAACUGCACAACUUAAGAUAUUUCUCCCCAACUAAUUCACGAAGAAGCAUCUCCUGGAGUUGUACCAACCCAUACUUUUUUGAAUUUUCUCUUACAUUAGCAAGAAAACAGAGACAAUCAAAUCGAUCAGCAAUGCAAUUGUAUACAGCACAUGCAACUGUUGUUUUGCCUAACCCACCCAUUCCAUAAAUCCCUACCAUUUGAACUACCUCAUUUGAUUCAACUUCUAGAAGCGAGUUCACUUUUUGCACUCGCGAUUCUAACCCGACGGGGUAUUUAGCAACAUGUAAAUGUCUACGAUUAAUAUUUUCUGAGAUCUUUUGAAUGAUCUUCCCAAUGAACUCAUACUCGCAGUCAUUCCUGGUCAAUUGCCAAAUUUAAGUCUGAAGUGGCAUUAAUUUCAUAAUAGUAAAUGUUGCAUACACUAAUUUGAAAGAAAACUAAUUAGUAAAUAGAGUGAGCUGAUGAGCCACGCACCUGUGUUUGAAAUGCCAACCUACCAGAUUAGCUGCUUCUUGCAAAGCUAACCUCCACCGUUUGACUGUUGCCUUGUUUAUGGUUUUUUCUCUUUCAUGAUUGGCCAGUGCUUCUGCAUAGCUCCCUUUCUGAUGGCGCACAUCAGAAGGGUCAACUAGAUAAAAAACUGGCCAAACCAACCUGCCUUUGUGUUUUAUGCACUCCAUGAUCUUUGUAAGUUCUUCCAAGCAAAAAGUGGAUGAUGCAUAGUUUUCUGAAAAAAUCACAAUUGCCAUCCUUGAUUGUUGGAUUGCUGUCAUGAGAGCUAGUUUGAUUUCUUCUCCUUUUCUUAGAUUUUGAUCAUCUAUGAAAGUGUUGAUUCCUUUUACACAAAGAGCAUUAUAAAAUUUUCCAGUAAAACCGUUUCGAGUGUCCUCUCCUCGAAAACUGAGGAAAACAUCGUAAACCCAUUCACAAGUAAAAGAAGAGGAGGACUGAGGUUUUAACUCUUUCAUUGUAGCCUUUAUGAUUCUUGAAAAGGAAAAAGAUGUAGCAGCUGCAAUUAAUCAAGGUGAUACCAUAUUAGUUAUUGCAGUAUGAACAAUAUUUGUUUAUAGAUGCCAUAUUUGUUCUUGACACAAACGAUAGAUAUUCACGUCUCUUAAGCAUGCAGUGCAAAAAAUAUUUUUUUAAUAGAUAUCAACUCUUUAAAUGAAUGUAAGUUAUUGUGUGAUUAGCAUUUGCAGUUAUAUUUAAGUUAUCAAAUAGUGGACCAAUUAUAUAAAGCUAGUUUAGCAUUAUCUUUAGAAAAUGUGAGGCCGGCCUUCCUUGUGUAUGUAAUAAUACUUCAAAUUUUGCUCUCUUCCGCGGAGUUGCUAACAUACACUACCAGAGGCUAUCUUCUGGCAGGGUAUGUGAGCAACACGAAGGGAGGAAAGCAUUUGUCCAAUACUUUAGCAGCUAUCUUGAUGAAACUUCAAACAACUUUCAUCAAAUUUUGUAGUUCUAUGGUUGAACUUUUUAAAUUUUGUGAUUAAAUAGGUAAGAAAUUGCAGGUUUGUAGAAUAACUUUUUCGUUUAACUUCUAACAAACGCGUUUUUCAUAGAAUAUGUCAAAUGAGACAAAACUUUUCACAUAAGAAGUGACGUUUUACAGAUUUUUGAAUAUAUUUAACGUAAGAAAGUGAUGUUUUAUAUAUUUACUAUAUUUCAGCAACUAUUUUAUUUGAAACUUAAGACAAUAUUCCCGUCAAUGUUUUACAGUCUUUUGAUUGAAAUUUAUAGUAAGUUUCGUGAAAAAAUGUAUGCAGGUAUAUGGCUGGCAAUUUGGCAUUAGCUUGAACUGUCUGUUUCAUAGUGAAUAUAUCUAAUGCAGAUAGACAUUUCAGGGAAGGAAGAAUAUAUUUCCUUAUUGCAGCAAACGUGUUUCAAAUAAAUUCCAAAUAAAUUAUGACAUACUUAGAAUCAAUCAGGCCAACAUGUGAAACCAAAAUAUAAACAUAUUAUAGCAAAUAGUAAAUUACAUAAAAAGCUAGUUACUUUAUUUAGUAGCAUAAGGUGACCAUAUAUUCAUAUUCAAUGCUUAUGAAUUCAAUUUCCAACAAUGCUUUUCAGUUUUUCCACCAACUUGUCAUGAGGAGGAAGUGUCUCCUUCACUAAAGGAUGUUCCUUCAGGGUAUUUACCCACCUGAAAAAAAUUCACGUCAUUUCGGGCGUGAAGACCUCUAUGUUGCAAGCCUCGUAAAAUGCUUUGCGGGUGCAACAAGUUGCGGCAUCCACAAUGUCCAAGAUUCCUGGUGUUUCGCCGUUGAAGAAUUGGAUCUGAUCAUUAAAAGUUAAAACCUUCCUUGAUCCUUUCUUCAAACACUCGAAGUAUCUCAACCAUGUCUGCAAUUGCUUUCUUCCUCUCUUCCCCUUUAAACUUGAGAACCCUAUAGGAACUAGGAAUGAUCUAAAUAAACAUUGUCAAAAUUAACAUAUGUUAUUAUUAGAAAUUAGAAUAUUAAAGUAAUACGUUUAAGUUGUUAAAAUUAAAACUAUAUGGUAAGUACUUAAAAAAUUGUUGCAUAUGACAAUUAUUUUGAUGUCUAAAUGUGUGAUAAGUCGACAUCAUAUUGAAAUCGCAAUAACAUCUAGGAAUGUGUCUAGUGUUAUAUUGUUAAUAAUUUUGGAUAUUAAAUUGACCAACGGAAGUUUAAGAA